rnacentral:rRNA from 1 species
AUAAGCGGAGGAAAAGAAACCCAAACCGGGAUUCCCUAGUAAGGGCGACUGAAAAGGGAUCAGCCCAGCGCAUAACCUCGCGGUCCUCUGCGGCUGUCGAGGGGUGUUGCGUACAGGUGGAGCCGUACCGUCCGCGCCUCCCACCGCCUAAGUCCUUGCUUAAAAGCAGCCCAGUGCAGGGUGAAAGGCCCGUGUGGCGGCGCCCGUAAAAGGGUUCAAGGCGGCGUGGGCGGAGGGCUCUUACCGGAGAGUCGGGUUGCUUAGUACUGCAGCCCAAAGUAGGUGGUAAACUCCAUCUAAGGCUAAAUAUGACCACGAGUCCGAUAGAGUACAAGUACCGUGAGGGAAAGUUGAAAAGCACUCUGAAGAGAGAGUCAAGAGGACGUGAAACCACUGGUAGCGCAAACGGGUGGAACCGUGAAGGUCGAACGAAGAGGGAGACUCAGCCUGCGGCUUCCGGAGGCGGCCGUUGCCCUCCCUUCCCCUACGUCGGGCUGGGACAUGGCGGCGCGUCGGGCACCGGGACCGCGGGUUUACUUCUCCCCUUUCAGUAGCACGUCGCGAGCAGCCGGGCUAUCCGCCGAUGGCCGCGCACGGAUUGGUAGCCGGGGCCCCUCACGGGGCCGCGGCGAAGACCGCGCCGGUUCUGAGGUGGUCGUCUGGCAUACACUGCGAGGAGGCUCCCCCGAGGAGACUCUCGCGACGGUGAAUCGGUCUCCACCCGACCCGUCUU